UAGAGUUUGACUCCGUGGCUCGAGGACGAACGCUGGCGGCGUGCUUAACACAUGCAAGUCGAACGGUGAAGCUCCUGGCUUUUGUUGGGGUGGAUGAGUGGCGAACGGGUGAGUAACACGUGAGUAACCUGCCCCUUUCUUCUGGAUACCGCCACGAAAGUGGUGUUAAUACGGGAUAUUCUGGCCUGUCCGCAUGGGUGGGUUGGGAAAGGUUUUUUCUGGUGGGGGAUGGGCUCGCGGCCUAUCAGCUUGUUGGUGGGGUGAUGGCCUACCAAGGCGUUGACGGGUAGCCGGCCUGAGAGGGUGGACGGCCACACUGGGACUGAGACACGGCCCAGACUCCUACGGGAGGCAGCAGUGGGGAAUAUUGCACAAUGGGCGGAAGCCUGAUGCAGCGACGCCGCGUGAGGGAUGGAGGCCUUCGGGUUGUGAACCUCUUUCGCCAGUGAAGCAGGCCCGCUCCUUGUGGGUGGGUUGACGGUAGCUGGAUAAGAAGCGCCGGCUAACUACGUG
rnacentral:rRNA from 1 species